rnacentral:rRNA from 1 species
UACGUAGGGUGCAAGCGUUGUCCGGAGUUAUUGGGCGUAAAGAGCUCGUAGGCGGUUUGUUGCGUCGGCUGUGAAAUCCCGAGGCUCAACCUCGGGUCUGCAGUCGAUACGAGCAAACUAGAGUGUUGCAGGGGAGACUGGAAUUCCUGGUGUAGCGGUGAAAUGCGCAGAUAUCAGGAGGAACACCGAUGGCGAAGGCAGGUCUCUGGGCCACUACUGACGCUGAGAAGCGAAAGCAUGGAGAGCGAACAGG